rnacentral:rRNA from 1 species
UUCGUCCGGUUACUUGGGUAACUUGGGUUACCUUGGUACUUCGACUUCGUACUUCCUCGUACUUGUGACCGUAAUGCCAUUAAUUUGGUGUUGCGGGGAAUUUGGACUGUUACUUUGAAAAAAUUAGAGUGUUUAAAGCAAGCUAACGCUUGAAUACAUUAGCAUGGAAUAAUGAAAUAGGACGUUCGAUCUAUUUUGUUGGUUUCUAGGAUUGACGUAAUGAUUAAUAGGGAUAGUUGGGGGCAUUAGUAUUCAAUUGUCAGAGGUGAAAUUCUUGGAUUUAUUGAAGACUAACUACUGCGAAAGCAUUUGCCAAGGAUGUUUUCAUUAAUCAAGAACGAAAGUUAGGGGAUCGAAGACGAUCAGAUACCGUCGUAGUCUUAACCAUAAACUAUGCCGACUAGGGAUCGGAUGAUGUUAAUUUUUUAAUGACUC